rnacentral:rRNA from 1 species
CCUACGGGCGGCAGCAGUGAGGAAUAUUGGUCAAUGGACGCAAGUCUGAACCAGCCAUGCCGCGUGCAGGAAGAAGGUGCUAUGCAUUGUAAACUGCUUUUAUACGGGGGUAAUUACAGAUACGUGUAUCUGGAUGAAAGUACCGUAUGAAUAAGGAUCGGCUAACUCCGUGCCAGCAGCCGCGGUAAUACGGAGGAUCCGAGCGUUACCCGGAUUUAUUGGGUUUAAAGGGAGCGUAGGUGGAUUGUUAAGUCAGUUGUGAAAGUUUGCGGCUCAACCGUAAAAUUGCAGUUGAAACUGGCAGUCUUGAGUACAGUAGAGGUGGGCGGAAUUCGUGGUGUAGCGGUGAAAUGCUUAGAUAUCACGAAGAACUCCGAUUGCGAAGGCAGUUCACUGUACUGCAACUGACACUGAGGCUCGAAAGUGUGGGUAUCAAACAGGAUUAGAUACCCGGGUAGUC